GGCGGGCUGCGUGGUGCGUUGGAUAUACUAAUCCCCGGGGCCUUAGCGAUCCAGAAGGGAGCUGUCCCUGUGUGUGCCCGUGGGCAUGCGCAAAACGGCGCCCACCUACUUAGUAGGUUCCCGGGAUCGUAAACAUCUGACGGCCAAGGUGGCUCGCCG
rnacentral:other from 1 species